rnacentral:rRNA from 1 species
GGCGGCGUGCUUACACAUGUCAGUCGAACGAUGAUGCCCAGCUUGCUGAGUGGAUUAGUGGCGAACGGGUAACACGUGAGUAACCUGCCCUUAACUCUGGGAUAAGCCUGGGAAACUGGGUCUAAUACCGGAUAUGACUCCUCAUCGCAUGGUGGGGGGUGGAAAGCUUUUUGUGGUUUUGGAUGGACUCGCGGCCUAUCAGCUUGUUGGUGAGGUAAUGGCUUACCAAGGCGACGACGGGUAGCCGGCCUGAGAGGGUGACCGGCCACACUGGGACUGAGACACGGCCCAGACUCCUACGGGAGGCAGCAGUGGGGAAUAUUGCACAAUGGGCGCAAGCCUGAUGCAGCGACGCCGCGUGAGGGAUGACGGCCUUCGGGUUGUAAACCUCUUU